CACCGCGGUUAUACGAGAGGCCCAAGCUGACAGUCAUCGGCGUAAAGAGUGGUUAAUUACCCCUAAAACUAAAGCCAAACGUCUUCAAAGUUGUAUAACACAUUCGAAGAUAUGAAGCUCAACCACGAAAGUGGCUUUACACUCUUUGAAUCCACGAAAGCUAGGAAA
rnacentral:rRNA from 1 species